CUUCAAGGUGGAGAUCUGCAGGAUGGCAUCAGCAUCGCACGCAUGCACACCUAGCAACAACCACGAGUCGGUCGGCUGGUCUCACAUCCGCGGCUAGACUCUCUGCUUUGCCCGAGUUCUGUUCAACCAGUUCCCUCAGUCUGGAAGAGCGCCACAGUUUUCAGCAUAGAUCUGGCUGAACUCCUGGCAAACCUCCUCUCUAACACGAGCUUCCACCAGCACGCUGUCAGCUCGCUCCUGCUUCAGCGCCAUCUGAAGACGUCUCACCAGCGC